AACCUGCUACUCAGUUCAUUGACGUGUCUGUCAAAUUUGUUGUUUAAGUCAGCCAGCUUCUUAGCGGGUUCCAUUACCCCUGCGGCUUGGCCUUGCAUGAUCUGUUGGAGCAUAUUCUUGAUGUCUGAUUCCUGGGGUGCAGAGGCCUGAUGUUGUUGUGGUGUGAAACCAGUUGGUGGCUGUUGCUGUUGAUACCCUCCUUGGAACUGCUGCUUAGGGACGAACCCUUGGCUUUGGUUGUAAGUAACAAACGGUUUGGGUUGGUUCUGCUGCUGCUGUUGAGGGUAAACUUGGUCCUGAGGAUUGGCGACAUUUGUGCUUCUGUAUGACAGAUUUGGGUUGGGUCUGUAAUUGAUGUACCCUUUGUCGUAGCCGCCUUGGUUCUGAACAUAACUGAUUUCAGCGCACUGAUCAUUCUCCCCCUCUUGGAUUUGGAAUACUUUGUCUUCAGAGGCGAAGUGAACAUGCUUCUGCUGCACUUGGAGGAGUUUGUCGAUUUUGUCAUGGAGAGCUUUAAUCUCUCAGCGGUGCUUGUCAUCAGAUUCAGUACUGGUGCGGAUGCUUCUGUCAUAAUCCUCGUUGUAAUUGCCAUCCGACUGAGCCAAGUUUUCAACUAGCUCCCAUCCGUCUUCGACAUCCUUUUUCA
rnacentral:sRNA from 1 species